rnacentral:rRNA from 1 species
UUUCACCGGACGCAUUUCCUCCCGCACUAAGGACGCCGCAGUCGGUUGGGUAGCUGCGUGAGUCGGCCAUGAGGACGGGCGCCGGCAGGUGGCCGGUGGCGUUGCUUCCGCUUCGCCGCCGGUUGUUAGCCAGCUCGUCCGUGGCGCGACACCCGACUGAGGUUGGACAGUUCCCGUAUGGGAAUUCGCCGUCCCCUUCCUUUCUGGGAGUGGGCGCUCUGGCAGGCGUAUUUCGGUGUUGCCACGUCACUCUUCGUAGUGGCCGGUGCUCCGUGAUCGCUGUUGGUUGGAAGCGUCCCGCGGGGGUGCAUGCGACUAGCGGCGAGUAGGUCGGUCACCCACCCGACCCGUCUUGAAACACGGACCAAGGAGUCUAACAUGUGCGCGAGUCACGGGGUCUUGAUUAGGCCCAGAGGCGCAAUGAAAGUGAAGGUCGACCUCGACGUCGGCUGUGUUGGGAUUUCUUGUCCUUCGGGGCGAGGAAGCACCAACGGCCCGUCCUAUCCGAUUUAUCGGUUGGGCGGAGUCUGAGCGUACACGUUGGGACCCGAAAGAUGGUGAACUAUGCCUGGGCAGGACGAAGC